UACGGAGGGUGCAAGCGUUAUCCGGAAUCACUGGGUUUAAAGGGUGCGUAGGCGGUCAGAUAAGUCAGUUGUGAAAUACCCCGGCUUAACCGGCGGAACUGCGAUUGAUACUGUUUGACUUGAAUCAGGUUGAGGUAGGCGGAAUGUGGCAUGUAGCGGUGAAAUGCUUAGAUAUCGUCAAGAACACCUAUUGCGAAGGCAGCUUACUAAGCUUUAACUGACGCUGAUGCACGAAAGUGUGGGGAUCAAAUAGG
rnacentral:rRNA from 1 species